UUUUUUUUUUUUUUUUAGUUAUUCCAGAAAUGAAUUUUAAAACCCGGAAUCACUUCUCCCUUCUGCUGGCGGGAUUAACCCCCUCACCAUUCAGAGCAGGAAACAGAGGGGGGUUUAUUUUAAUUUUCUUUUUUUAUUUUUUUAAUUCCAGCUCGCAGAGCCCCCGGCUCUGAAUGACCCCUGAAUGAGGAGCCUCUCAAUUAAAAGUUUCCCAUUGACGCCGCCUCAAUGAGAGCGCGCUGGGGAAUUCUCCGCGCCUCAAUGGCCCCGGCCCUCGGCGAGUGGUGAGGGGCCGAUGGACUUCCCACAAUGGGCAUCACUCCACGAGCUCAGCACCGGCCUUGGCAGCUGGAGCGUGAAGUGGAAAGGAAAGAGCUUCUCCCAGGGGCUCUGGGGAGAGAAUUUCCUGCAGAAAUCCCUGGAGAAAGGCAGGGAAUGAAGGGCAGGAGCAGCAGCUGCUGCCUGACACCCCCGAGGUGUCUCUGUGGUGGGUGGGAGAUCUCUGAGAUCCCUUCCAACCCCAAUUUCCCCAUUAUUUUAUUAUUUUCUCUAUUUUUUUGUGCACUGCUUUUCACCUGCCGUCCUUUGGGGAAUGUGGGAACUGAAUUUUCCCAUGAUUUAAUGAUUUUGUCUAUUUUUUUUUUUUUUUUUUUUUUUUUUUUUUUGUGCACACUGUUUUUCACCUGCCCUCCUUUGGGGCUGAAUUUCCCCAUGAUUUUAUGAUUUUCUCUAUUUUUUUUUCCUUUUUUUUUUGUGCACUGCUUUUCUCUUGCCCUCCUUUGGGGAAUGUGGGGACCUUUGGGGAAUGUGGGACCCUUCCCAGCUGGAAUUUGUGCUCCCUCUCAGGGAUGAGGAGGGGUCUCAGCCACCCAGUGCCCCCUGAAUUUGCCUCCAGGGCCGUGCUGGGGGCUGGCAAAGCCACAUCCUGUGGAGCAGAAGGAGCAGGAAAUUGGGAGCACGUUCCUGCAUCAGGCUGCUCUUUUAGGGAUGAUCAGCCUAAAACAUCUCCCCAGCCCUAACCCCGUGCUGAUCCCACUGUGGGCCCCACGGAUGUGGGGAGAUCUGGGAAUCAGCAGGUUUGGAGAUGGGGAAGGAGGAAUCUCAGUCUGGAGUUGGGGAGCAGAGCCAGACCAGCUCUGUUCCACCCACAACCAGGCUGGGAUAACUGGGGGGGCUCCAGGGGGAUUUUGGAGCCUCUCCUUGUGUUUAAAGGUGGCCUAAAUCCAGAGGGAGCCCCUUUUUCCAUGGGCUGGGGGAGGCAGGACGUGGGGAAGGGGUUUGAACUAAAGGAGGAGAGGUUUAGGUGGGUUUUGGGAAGGAAUUCUUCCCUGGGAGGGAGGGGAGGCCCUGGCAGAGGUGAUUCCAUGGAUUCCCCAUCCCUGGAGGUUCAAGGGGUGUUCAAGGUCCCUUCCAACCCUUUUGCCCACACACAGCUGGGAUGAAGGAGCCAAACAGAGCUGGGGAUGGGAGCCAGGCACAAUUUCAGGCUGGGAUCCCUGCUCAGAAUCCCUUCAACAGAAGCCCUGGCAGAGCUCUGCAGGCCUGGGGAGCAUCCAUGUGGAAUUCCCUGCUCCAUGAGCUCCGCAGGCCUGCCCUGCCCU
ensembl:lncRNA